UCAAAGUUUGCUUAAGAAGACAAUUAGUCUUCUUUGACUAAUUCAAAGUAAAUUCAACAAAAAGAGAAGAAAAUUCUAGAAAAACAAAAAAAAAAGGGGGAAAUCUCUAGAAAAGUGAAGAGGGAGGCAUGUGCCUCUCACAUGCUUGAAGGAACUAAAUAUAUAUAUAUAUAUUAUGAGAGGUCAUCUUUAAUUGAAGAAAUUGAGGAGAAAGAAAGAAAAUAAGAAGAGAGGGAAUAUAGUAGGCUAUUCGGCCAUGGCUUCAAAAAUUAAGCCAUGGAAAAUUGAUGAAGAAAAAUUAUUCCCUUUUAAUAUUCUAGCUAAUUUGGAGGUCCUUGUUAACAUGGAGCAACUGUUGAAGUAAGAAAAACAUUGGUUAUGCAAGUAGUGGGCUUAGCCGAAUGGAGUUAAGUGAAGAAGACUAACAAGUUGGACGAAUAAGCGUAGCUAGUAAGGCGCGGCACAGGUACACCCAGAUGAGUUGAAGCUAAUAUAGAAGAUGUUCCAGCAGAGAUGGUAGACUCCACUUGUUCUGGAGUGCUGCCGAGUCAGAGUAUAUGUGCUAUGAUUUUUUGUUCGAAGUUAGAGACUUUGCAGACAGAGAUGUGGGUAUUGGUUGUUAGUUCAGUAAGCGGCUCCAUCAGCCGAUGUGUCAUUCGUGUUAUGAUAUAAGUUUCAUGUGAUUACAGAUUUUGUUUGAUUUGAAAGUAACGAAAACAAAAAUAUUUCUGAAAAUUCUACUAUGGAUUUCAUCUUUAUUUGAUUUAAAAAGUCCAAAGGAUUAUGUAUGUAUUAAAAGUCAGUGGGUUCGCUCGGCUCUAAGUAAGGGUCGGGUGCCCAUCACACCCUAGUAAGGUCGGGGUGUGACAUAUAUAUAUAUAUAUUAUAUGCAUAAAAAUAGUGCAAACUAGUAAUAUCCAAAAGGGUGGGCCCCAUACUAAACAACACCAAGUAAUAUAAAAAAAAAAAAAACUAUAUAAAGCAUGGGUUUAGACCCAUGCUUCGUCGUCCGUUGUCCCUUAAAAAAAAGGGUGGGCCUCAUACUAAAUAACACUGAGCAAUUAAAAAAAAGUGGAACUCACCAUCUCCAAACUCAUGCGGAAAAAAAAAAGUGGACCUCAUAUUAUCAAAAAAAAAAAAAAAAAAAGUGAACCAUAUAUUAAAAAAAAAGUUAAAAAAAAAGUGAUGACUUUGUAUUCAUAGCAAACACUAAUAUAAUAAAGUUUUAGAUACGGAGCACAAACUACAAUGUUCUAUUAAUCGUGUUUUGAACAUAGUAUAUAUAUAUAUAUUAUAUGCAUAAAAAUAGUACAAACUAAUAAUGUCCAAAAAAAAAAAGUGUACCCCAUAAAGGAUGGACCUCAUACUAAACAACAUCAAGCAAUAUAAAAAAAUAUUUAAAAAAAUUAAAAAAAAGUGGAACCCACCAUCUUCAAAUUCACGGUAAAAAAAAAUGGACCCCAUAUUAACAAAAUCAAGCAAUAUAAAAAAAAAUG